AAAAAAAGAGAGGAAAGAGGAGCCCUAAACUAUCACUUUCAAGGCCAGCAGCCACCGCCCACCCGACUGAAUUUUCUGAUAGAUCUCUCUGUCUUUCCCUUUGAUUUUCUUCUUCCCUACAACAAUCUGUCCCUUUCAUCUAACCCAUGCAACCCUCUUUCUCCACUACAACCACUCCCACUCCAACCUGCCUCUUCAAGGCCGCUCAACACCAUUUCCUUCUCCCUCAACCAAACAGCCGCCCCUCUUCAGCUUUGGUUUUUCUCUACCCAUGUUGUAGCCCUUUCUCUCUUUGACAGAACAUUAAGCCAGCCAUCACCCUUCUCAACCACGACCCCAUCUCCACUGACCAAAGGAUGGCAGAGUUGUUCCCAUCUCCUCAGACCCAUGGUCUCCUUCUUUAGCCAGCAGGUUUUUCCUUCCUCAGCCGUCGAACAGCCUCCAA